rnacentral:lncRNA from 1 species
AUGUCCCCAUCCCCUCAUCCCUGUCCCCUGCCCCUGGUCUGUGUCCCAUCCUUGUCCCCAUCCCCUGCCUUGUGUCCUUGUCCCCUGGUCCCUGUCCCAUCCAUGUCCCCUGCCCCGGUGUGUGUCCUUGUCCCCUGGUCUGUGUCCCAUCCUUGUCCCCAUCCCCUGCCUUGUGUCCUUGUCCCCUGGUCUCUGUCCCAUCCCUGUCCCCUGCCCCGGUGCGUGUCCUUGUCCCCUAUUCCCUGUCCUAUCCAUGUCCCCAUUCCCUGGUCCCUGUCCCAUCCCUGUCCCCGUCCUCUGCCACAUGUCCCCAUCCCCUCAUCCCUGUCCCCUGCCCCUGCUCUGUGUCCCAUCCUUGUCCCCAUCCCCUGCCUUGUCUCCUUGUCCCCUGGUCCCUGUCCCAUCCUUGUCCCCAUCCCCUGCCCCGGUGCGUGUCCUUGUCCCCUAUUCCCUGUCCUAUCCGUGUCCCCGUCCCCUGCCACGCAUCCCCAUUCCCUGCUCCCUGUCCCAUCCCUGUCCCCAUUCCCUGCCACAUGUCCCCAUCCCCUCAUCCCUGUCCCCUGCCCUGGUGCGUGUCCUCAUCCCCUGCUCCCUGUCCCAUCCUUGUCCCCAUCCCCUGCCUUGUGUCCUUGUCCCCUGGUCCCUGUCCCAUCCGUGUCCCCCGCCCUGGUGUGUGUCCUUGUCCCCUAUUCCCUGUCCUAUCCGUGUCCCCGUCCCCUGCCACGUGUCCCCAUUCCCUGCUCCCUGUCCCAUCCCUGUCCCUGUCCCCUGCCACGUGUCCCCAUCCCCUCAUCCCUGUCCCCUGCCCCUGGUCUGUGUCCCAUCCUUGUCCCCAUCCCCUGCCUUGUGUCCUUGUCCCCUGGUCCCUGUCCUAUCUGUGUCCCCAUCCCCUGCCACAUGUCCCCAUUCCCUGCUCCCUGUCCCAUCCCCUUCUCCUGCCUCGGUGCGUGUCCUCAUCCCCUGGUCCCUGUCCCCUGCUCCUGCAGGACCAGCAGUUCUUCUCCAACCCCCCCCCGGCGCCGUGGCCCCGACUGGCCGAGGUGCUGA